AAUAGGUGGAAGGCAUUCAGAGAAAAGUUCAGUAAAGUCUGAAGGAUCCUUUUCAGUUCAAGAUGAAAAUGUGGUGCUAGACACUGAAAGACUACAGGUGAAAAGAAUGAGAAAAAGAUAGAAGACUUAUGACUAAAUAAAGGUUAGGUAAUGGUUUUCAUUCUAGAACCCACCCAGCCCUCGACAAUACUACGUGAUUAACAAGUUUUGUUGAGGAAACAGCAUGAUCCUCAGUGUUUCUCACGGAUUCCUAAAUGAUGACUUUCUCCACUUCACGUAGAUCAAACAGCUUGUGGCAGCAGGUCACCAUAGCCACCAGGACUGGCCCGAGAGAAGUUGACAAUGGCAUGGGCAUGGUCGAUUUAAAUACUGACCUUUGUGUGCUAAAGUGUGAAGAGACUUUUAAUGCCAACACAACUCAUACAAGGUUGACAGAGAUGACAAUUCUGCCAAAUAGUUGAGUGUGCACUUGAUAUACAGGGUAUCACACAGAAAUCUGAAGGGACCACAAAUGCACAGCUGUACGAAUCUCCACUGUGUUGUAAAGAAAUGACCUAAAUUCUAUCCUUUUUAUUGGUCGACACUUUUCGAAAUACAUUAUGUGCAUAUGUUUUCACGGCAUACGCCUUGUUUUUUUCCCUCGCCAUGUGUUUUUACUUAUGGAGUAGACCAGACCAGAGCCCAUACCUUGGCAGGAAACAAGAGCACAAACAAUUGUAUCUGAGCCAGCUAUUUGGCUGUGCUCCCUGGUAAUGCUGAUUUUCAGUUCUGUUCAUGCGCAUAAUUCCAGUCACCCAGUCUGUUAUUCCACAAGUAGUCUUUUGUCUCCGUGUUACCCAGAAUGCCACACUUCAAAAGGAGGUGGCAAAUUCUUCUCCUUCCCCUGAGAUGCAUUAAGAUGAAUGUUCAUUAAGGUGAAUGUUCAUUAAGAUGAAUGUUCAUUAAGGUGAUCCCUAACUCUAGAUGCUUUAAGGUGAAGGUCUUCCCCUCUGGUUGGGGUUGCUGAUCUCAUAGCAUCAGUCUGCUUUAUCUGAACAAUACGGUCCCUUCAUAUCUGUACCAGCAACAUUGGUAGCACUAUGGUGCCAAGCGUGACCAUGUUCGCUGUGCUGUCCAAGCCCUCUGUGCUGUAUCUGGCAUGGCGCCACUGAGAGGGAGAAAUGAGAGGGAGAUUGGGUCUCAUCCAGCUAGGGUGCCUGGCACACUGCCUAGGAGCAACUGCUUGAUUGCCCUCUCCUCUACAGGUAUAUAGAUAACUCAUCUGGAAGGGGAAGGGAGUCGUCACCCGAGUCACAGCCAGGGUUUCCGAAAAAGAGGCCUCAAGACGGGUAGCUGACACGUUAGAAAAUAUGCAUCAGAAUGCAUUCAGAAAGAAACAGGAUAGUUUCACUAAAAACCGUCAAGUCAAGCUAUGAGUACAAUAAAAUCAAGCACACACACGUAUAAGAUCAUGACUAUACCCGACACAGGUCAGUAUCUCAGUCUCUACAGCUCACUCAUUGUAGCUAUGUAUAGCCCAGUUUGUGUCAUGUUUUCUUUCUUGACUCUCCUCUAUGCUCUGUCCAUUUCUCUCUCUCUCUCUCUCUGGUGAGCACAUGCAGGGCAGUAAAUCAGUGUGGAGCGAGGCUGGUAGGGUUCAGGCUCAGGUUGCCUCUAUUUAACGAGCGCUAGUUGCCUUGAUCACUCAAACCAACCCCAGGUGACGGAUGUCUUAUAUUUGAUGACACCAUUCCGCUCCAGACACAGACUGUUACGGUUACGGUAAGUGAUGUCACCUGAAACAGUGAAUCCUUCUUCACCACGGAGACGAGUUUAUGGGUGGCGGGGGUCAGAGUGUUAGGUUUCAAGCAGAUUCUACAUCCAUGGUGGAAAUACUAAGAAGGUCAUGAGAACGUUCACACGCUGGAAAGAUGAUCAUCAUCAUCAAAUAAGCAAGUUCACAGUGAUGUCCGCCAGUAAGUAGAAAAGCGCUACAAAUGUCUAUAUGCGUGAUUACCAACAAAUCAUUUCAGUUUCAGAAAUGAAAAGACCCUAAUGACUUCACUACAUGGCACCUGAAAUAUAAAACUCUAUUCACCAAUCAGAAGAGAUGAUGGUGCACUUACACACACGUUUAUUCACUUUGAUCUGAAGCCACCUAUAGUAUGGUAAACAGUAUCACACAUUUUCAUCAGUAUGAGUAUGAAGUGGCCAGCCUUACCAGGGAUCUUCAGAUUGAGAUCACACACACUGCCCACACUAGCAACAGAGGCAGCCUUCUGCCGGCGGGAGAUGCUCUCGCGGAUACGGCCCUCUCCGGUGACCUUCACUGAGAAGGGACUGCCUGUGGACACACACACCAAAGCAGAGCACACACAUCGGUGCAUCAGUCAGCGCUGCUUCCACUCAAAGUGUACUAAUGUCUUUACAUUAUUUGCUCUGUACCAUCGUGGAGUAUACUGAAACCACAUUUCAUUGAAACGGUGCAACCAUCAGCAAUGUGGACCAUAUUUUACAUUUAGCAGACGCUUUUAUCCAAAGCGACUUACAAGGAUGUAUACACAUUUUUUACAUUUACACUGAUGGCACACUGCACAUCAGGAGCAAUUAGGGGUUCAGUGUCUUGCUCAAGGACGCUUCGACAGGGAAUCGAACUAGCA
ensembl:lncRNA